rnacentral:rRNA from 1 species
UACAGAGGUCUCAAGCGUUGUUCGGAUUCAUUGGGCGUAAAGGGUGCGUAGGCGGCGCGGUAAGUCGGGUGUGAAAUCUCGGAGCUUAACUCCGAAACUGCAUUCGAUACUGCGGUGCUUGAGGACUGGAGAGGAGACUGGAAUUUACGGUGUAGCAGUGAAAUGCGUAGAGAUCGUAAGGAAGACCAGUGGCGAAGGCGGGUCUCUGGACAGUUCCUGACACUGAGACACGAAGGCCAGGGGAGCAAACGGG